AAGGAUCAUUACAGAGUUCAUGCCCUUCGGGGUAGACCUCCCACCCUUUGUAUACAUUGCCUUUGUUGCUUUGGCGGGCCGCCGCGUCCGCGGCCACCGGCUCCGGCUGGUGCGCGCCCGCCAGAGAACCCCCAAACCCUGUCUUACAGUGUCGUCCGAGUACUAUAUAAUAGUUAAAACUUUCAACAACGGAUCUCUUGGUUCUG
rnacentral:misc_RNA from 1 species